rnacentral:rRNA from 1 species
GAUGAACGCUGGCGGCGUGCUUAACACAUGCAAGUCGAACGGUAAGGCCCUUCGGGGUACACGAGUGGCGAACGGGUGAGUAACACGUGGGUGAUCUGCCCUGCACUUCGGGAUAAGCCUGGGAAACUGGGUCUAAUACCGGAUAGGACUCCGGACUGCAUGGUCUGGGGUGGAAAGCUUUUGCGGUGUGGGAUGGGCCCGCGGCCUAUCAGCUUGUUGGUGGGGUGAUGGCCUACCAAGGCGACGACGGGUAGCCGGCCUGAGAGGGUGACCGGCCACACUGGGACUGAGAUACGGCCCAGGCUCCUACGGGAGGCAGCAGUGGGGAAUAUUGCACAAUGGGCGCAAGCCUGAUGCAGCGACGCCGCGUGAGGGAUGACGGCCUUCGGGUUGUAAACCUCUUUCAGCAUCGACGAAGCGAAAGUGACGGUAGGUGCAGAAGAAGGACCGGCCAACUACGUGCCAGCCGCCGCAGUAA